rnacentral:rRNA from 1 species
AAUUUUGGACAAUGGGGGAAACCCUGAUCCAGCCAUCCCGCGUGUGAGAUGAAGGCCUUCGGGUUGUAAAUCACUUCUGUCAGGGAAGAAAUCGUACAGGCUAAUAUCUUGUCCGGAUGACGGUACCUGAAGAAUAAGCACCGGCUAAAUACGUGCCAGCAGCCGCGGUAAUACGUAGGGUGCAAGCGUUACUCGGAAUUACUGGGCGUAAAGGGUGCGCAGGCGGUUUAUCCAGAAAGGUGUGAAAACCCCGGGCUUAACCUGGGAAUGGCACUUUUAACUGAUAGGCUAGAGUAUGUCAGAGGGGGGUAGAAUUCCACGUGUAGCAGUGAAAUGCGUAGAGAUGUGGAGGAAUGCCGAUGGCGAAGGCAGCCCCCUGGGAUAAUACUGACGCUCAUGCACGAAAGCGUGGGGAGCAAACA